rnacentral:lncRNA from 1 species
AGGGAUGCAGUCUGGGACACGUAGUUGCAAACCUAGCGACUUUGUUGUUAGAUUCAAUGACUUUUCAGACCCCCUAACGACUUUUUUUUAGAAAGAAAGGGACUUUUAUCGACUUCUUCUGGAGUUUAGAGACUCUGACAUGAAGCAGGCUUUCCUUACUGAGGAGUUAGCAACGCUGCUAAGGGUGCAGAGCCACACAUGCGCUCCGAGCUCUGCAUGGGAGACUAAAGCUGACAGAGCUGCAGCAGUUAGCAGGUUUCACCCUCAGAGACCACCAGGGGUUCAUGUUGAGGCAUUUUCAGUUUUUUUUUUUUUUUUGCCAUAGACACUGUCAGCACAAUCUGCAGUUACACUAACAAAAAUGCUGCAAAAAACAAAGAAUUAUGGAAAGAUUACACAUGGACUGACAUAGAGGAGGAUCUACACAAGUUUUUUACAUCAUGUUUUACAUCAUGCAUCAUUUACAUCAUGUUUUUUUGUAGUGGCAUAAAUAAAAAGUGACAUUUGUGAGACUAUACAGUGUUUUGUAAAUAAUUUUACAAAGAACGCCUGGGCCAUUGCCUGCAUUUUGAUGUAAAUAGAGGUAAAUUACUAUGUUCUUUGUUAAAAAUUUGCAUAUGUUUUGAAGUUUACAAUUUUUAUUUGAAGUUUAAGUUUUAAAAACAGUUCAUCACAUAUAUUUGUGGUUUAAUUUCACAUUAAUUUCCAUAUUGUAUAAAUGACUGGAAAAAACUUGAGCCCCUGCCCCUGUAUAAUCAUGUGCACGUCCCUGUUCUAGCUCCAAGGUGAAUCUUCACUGCUCAUGUUCUCCUCAGAAAUAGUCACCUCACUCCCCUCAGGUUACUGUACACAUGCACCAACUAUCUGCUUCAGGUUUGGAUGGAGCUUCAUGGUUGUCUUUUGGAGAAAUGAACAGUCAAGUUGUGUUUGAAAUUUGAUUUUUUUCAGGGGCAAAAGGAAGCCUCUGCAUUCUUGUCAAAUAUGUAAACAGCUUGUUUUUGCAGGUGCUAAAAAACAGACUCUGUGUGUGUGUGUGUGUGUGUGUGUGUGUGUGUGUGUGUGUGUGUUGGCGUGUGUGUAUAUGUGUGUGUAUCCUGCAGUACUCUGUACUCCUGCAGUGGCCAAAAAGACUUUUAAGAAUGUGGAUUUUUGGGUCAUCUUUGGCGCCCCCUAGAACUGCAGUACUCUGUACUCCUGCAGUGGCCAAAAUGACUUUUAAGAAUGUGGAUUUUUGGGUCAUCUUUGGCGCCCCCUAGAACGUAAACCGUGGGGUGCAGCAUCAUGAUUUUUACAACUUUGAAUGGGCAUGGGGUGUAGAUUGCCCUGAGCAAAUUUGGUAUCGGUGGGACGAAAGCCUUAGGAGGAGAUAGCCACAUUCCAAUGUGUGCGAAUCGGCAAAAAAUGCAAAAUAGCCCUUUAACCGUACAUUAUACAGAUACGCGCUCUUUGACUUUUUCAUAGAUCUAAUUGAGAUACACAUGAUUCUCAAUUUUUGUGUCAAUAUGACAUAGGUUCAGGCGUGACACUCAACAAUGUGUAUUUUCAUGUAAGGGGACAAGAAAAAAUUGACUUUUUUCUCCUACCAUGGGGGGGCGCUCUUUUGGGGAGUAAAAAUUCCUUCACAAAUGUGUUGAUGGCUGGACAUUGCAUCAUCCUAGAAAACUUGGAGGCCAGUGAGGACAAAAAAAAAAGUUAUAAAACAUUUAAGAAUGUGGAUUUUUGGGUUAUUUUUGGCGCCCCCUAGAACCUAAACCAUGGGAUGCAGCGUCAUGAUUUGAAUAACUUUUAAUGGCCAUGGGGUGUAGAUUGGCCUGAGCAAAUGUGGUGCCAGUGGAACGAAAGCCUUCGGAGGAGUUAGCGAAAUUCCAAUGUGUGCGUAUCGGCAAAAAAUGCGGAAUAACCCUUUAACCGUACAUUUGACAGAUACGCGCGCAGGACUUUUUUGUAGAUCUUAUUGAGAUACAUGUGUGUGUCAAUUUUUGUGUAAUUUUGACAAAGCGUACAGGCGUGACAGUCAAUAGUGUGAAUUUUCACCUUAUGGGACAAGAAAAAAUGGACUUUUUUCUCCUGCCAUGGGGGGGCGCUCUUUUGGGGAGUAAAAAUUCCUUCACAAAUGUGUUGAUGGCUGGACAUUGCAUCAUCCUAGAAAACUUGGAGGCCAGUGAGGGCAAAAAUAAAAAGUUAUAAGACUUUGAAAUAUGUGGAUUUUAGGGUUAUCUUUGGCGCCCCCUAGAACCUAAACCGUGGGGUGCAGCGUCAUGAUUUGAAUAACUUUUAAUGGCCAUGGGGUGUAGAUUGGCCUGAGCAAAUGUGGUGCCGGUGGAACGAAAGCCUUCGGAGGAGUUAGCGAAAUUCCAAUGUGUGCGGAUCGGCAAAAAAUGCGCAAUAACCCUUUAACCGUACAUUUGACAGAUACGCCCGCACUGACUUUUUUGUAGAUCUUAUUGAGAUACAUGUGUGUGUCAAUUUUUGUGUCAUUUUGACAAAGCGUACAGGCGUCAGGUGAAUUUUUCACCUUAGGGGGCGCUAUGGAGCCAUUUUGCAUUGUAUUGUUUGGACGACUUCAGAAUAUCAAAUUUUUCACCAGGCCCGGUCGUCCUGCCAAAUUUCAUGAGUUUUCGCCAGUGGGAAGUGGGCCAUUUUCCAGUUCAAAGGGGAGGAAAAAGAAAAAAGAAACAAAGACUAGGGCCCCGGUGGGGCACUGUCGGGCCCGAGCCGCGUCGCGCCGCCCCCAGCGCGACCGCCUCCCCCUCCCGAUCGCGUCACACUCAAGGUCCAAAGAUGGUGUGCGCACUUGUCUGUGGUCAUUUCCCAUUAUAAUGAAUGGGAGGCGCAGUUUCUACCAAAACACUCGCUGCAGACAAACUUCAUGUCCUAUUUGAAAAAAGUCUGGACCAUGAGUGAGGGCACAAACACAGCUAUGAUAUAUCGAAAUGGCAGGUUGCUCCUCCUUACAGUGUUGCCUGGAGAGCGAUGCGAUUGAGCCAUUGAGCGAUGGGCAGGGUUAACUUGACUUUUUCUCCUGCCUUGUGGGGGGGGGGGGGGGGGGGGGGGAUGUGGAUUCCUUUAAGAAUGUGGAUUUUUGGGUCAUCUUUGGCGCCCCCUAGAACGUAAACCGUGGGGUGCAGCGUCAUGAUUUUUACAACUUUGAAUGGCCAUGGGGUGUAGAUUGGCCUGAGCAAAUUUGGUGUCAGUGGGACGAAAGCCUUAGGAGGAGUUAGCCACAUUCCAAUGUGUGCGAAUCGGCAAAAAAUGCAAAAUAGCCCUUUAACCGUACAUUUGACGGAUACACGCGCAUUGACUUUUUUGUAGAUCUUAUUGAGAUACAUAUGUGUGUCAAUUUUUGUGUCAAUAUGAUAAAGCGUACAGGCGUGACAGUCAAUAGUGUGAAUUUCCACCUUAGGGGACAAGAAAAAAUUGACUUUUUUCUCCUGCCAUGGGGGGGCGCUCUUUUGGGGAGUAAAAAUUCCUUCACAAAUGUGUUGAUGGCUGGACAUUGCAUCAUCCUAGAAAACUUGGAGGCCAGUGAGGACAAAAAUAAAAAGUUAUAAGACUUUUAAAUAUGUGGAUUUUAGGGUUAUCUUUGGCGCCCCCUAGAACCUAAACCGUGGGGUGCAGCGUCAUGAUUUGAAUAACUUUUAAUGGCCAUGGGGUGUAGAUUGGCCUGAGCAAAUGUGGUGCCGGUGGAACGAAAGCCUUCGGAGGAGUUAGCGAAAUUCCAAUGUGUGCGGAUCGGCAAAAAAUGCGGAAUAACCCUUUAACCGUACAUUUGACAGAUACGCGCGCAUUGACUUUUUCGUAGAUCUUAUUGAGAUACAUGUGUGUGUCAAUUUUUGUGUCAUUUUGCCAAAGCGUACAGGUGUUACACUCAACAAUGUGUAUUUUCACCUUAGGGGACAAGAAAAAUUUGACUUUUUUCUCCUGCCAUGGGGGGGGCGCUCUUUUGGGGAGUAAAAAUUCCUUCACAAAUGUGUUGAUGGCUGGACAUUGCAUCAUCCUAGAAAACUUGGAGGCCAGUGAGGGCAAAAAUAAAAAGUUAUAAGACUUUUAAAUAUGUGGAUCUUAGGGUUAUCUGUGGCGCCCCCUAGAACCUAAACCGUGGGGUGCAGCGUCAUGAUUUGAAUAACUUUUAAUGGCCAUGGGGUGUAGAUUGGCCUGAGCAAAUGUGGUGCCGGUGGAACGAAAGCCUUCGGAGGAGUUAGCGAAAUUCCAAUGUGUGCGGAUCGGCAAAAAAUGCGAAAUAACCCUUUAACCGUACAUUUGACAGAUACGCCCGCACUGACUUUUUUGUAGAUCUUAUUGAGAUACAUGUGUGUGUCAAUUUUUGUGUCAUUUUGACAAAGCGUACACGCGUGACAGUCAAUAGUGUGAAUUUUCACCUUAGGGGGCGCUAUGGAGCCAUUUUGCAUUUUCUUGUUUGGGCGACUUCGGAAUAUCAAAUUUUUCACCAGGCCCGGUCGUCCUGCCAAAUUUCAUGAGUUUUCGCCAGUGGGAAGUGGGCCAUUUUCCAGUUCAAAGGGGAGGAAAAAUAAUAACUAGGACCCCGUUGGGGCACUGGCGGGCCCGAGCUGUGUCGCGUCCCCCCCAACGCGCUGCCUCCCCGUCCCAUUUGUGUCCUCUGGCCAUCGCCCUCUUUGGUAACGCCCAUCACUGCAAAGACCCUUUUCCUUCAUCGGCGUUUGCUGUUCUUCCUGCCAGUGCGUGUUGCUUUCACUUACACUUGCCACAGCCAGCCUCGUGAGUGCCUAGCCUAUUGGAUAUCACUGUCACCUACACAGGACAGUCAUUACCUUUCUAUUAAUACUUUGUUUUUUAAUUUCACAUUAAUUUCCAAAUUGUAUAAACGACUGGAAAAAACUUGAGCCCCUGCCCCUGUAUAAUCAUGUGCACGUCUCUGUUCUAGCUCUAAGGUAAAUCUUCACUGCUCAUGUUCUCCUCAGAAGCAGUCACCUCACUCCCCUCAGGUUACUGUACACAUGCACCAACUGCCUGCUUCAGGUUUGGAUGGAGCUUCAUGGUUGUCUUUUGGAGAAAUGACCAGUCAAGUUGUGUUUGAAAUUUGAUUUUUUUCAGGGGCAAAAGGAGCCUCUGCAUUCUUGUCAAAUAUGUAAAUAGCAUGUUUUUGCAGGUGCUACAAACCAGACUCUGAGUGUGUGUGUGCGUGUGUGUGUGUGUGUCUGUGUGUGUGUGUGUGCGUUCAAGUCACAUGACAUAUUUAACCGGAUGUAGCUGCAAGACGGAGCCUCGUUGACUCUCCGUUUCAACUUAUCUCAAAAGUGAGGACCUCAACCUAUAUACCAGUUUUUAAAUUGUGUUGAUAGGCCAAAUAAAACCAGAGUUAUGAUAAAUUAUGUCCGCGAUACUUUUUUUCUGCUUAUUUUGAUCACGUUCGGCGCUCGAUCGCGCUGUAUGAGACAGGAAAACAUAGCAUGCAGACAUUAGCGACAGGUCUUACAGGCGGAAAAGGCUUGCCAAAGGAAAAAAAAUACACACCACAACAUCUCUCCUAUUGGUGGAAAACUUCACCACAACAACCAAUCCAAAAUUAUAUGGUGACUGAUUGACAAGGGGCGGGAACUUACGUUCUUCCUGCAAUAUGAGAAGGGAGGGAGGGACUCUCAGCAGGGAUGCAGUCUGGGACACGUAGUUGCAAACCUAGCGACU